GUUACCGUACCAAGAGCCCUUCUUGAGCCACCAGCCGGUGUGCAUAGGAAAUCUAGCGACUAGCGAGCUGCUAGUAUGAUCUAUGAUGCCUGUCCAUGUUCUCUGAAAGCAUGGAACAGAGCUGCGUUUCUGUCGAUCGACCUGUCUUGUUGUCUUGUAAAUACAGGGACUUUACUUGCUUGCUUAACAUACAUGCCUGUGUUUGAUUAUGUUUUUUUGCUUCGUCAAAGCUGUUUGGAUUAUUCGUCAAAUCAGGCAUGGAAAUUCGUGGAUAAACACUGGUGAGUCGGUUCAGACUUUUCAGAGGAUGCAUCGUUCAGGCAACGCAAGGCAAAGACGGCCAGCAGACGAGAGCCACAGACCGGGGUAGCCAAAAUUGACUGGGGAACAUCUACUAGCUUGGAUAUGCAUGCGCCAGGAGAAGCACUGGAGGAGCUGCUGCAAUAAUUCCACCCGAUUUCCAUGAUUUUUCCCACCUGAAGUUGCUGACACGGCAAACAGGAUAGAAGCAUCCGUCAGCUUUGCUUCCACGUCGCGCGCAGUAGCAGAAGGCAGGCCGACGUGUCCGCGUCAUGAAGAUAAUUGAGGCACUUGGGCGUUGAUUCACGAUUAACCGGUGAAGGAUGUUUCUAGAACCGGAUGAGUUGGAGGUCUCCAGGUUUGCGUCAUCCUUCCUUGGAUCCAAAGCGCACGGUCCAGAUUGAGGAGGGUGUGUUUUUUAUCAACUUCCGACCGAAAACAUGGUCCCACCUGCCUGUCAAACCUCGAAUUGCCGAAACCACAAUCUCGCUGAACCCUGGAAACCUGGCCCCCGGCGAUCGUGUUCAAGGUUGAGAGUCCAGAGCCGUCCCCAGCCCAGCAUCUCCCGAAUGCGGCGGACAUACCUUUGGGCCUGUUCCGCACGUCCAAAGCCCAAAGGUAUGGAAUGCUAUCGCUUUCGCGAUUUCCUUCCGUCGUGUUCCCGUUGUUCAGGCUGUGGGCUAUUAUUAUGGGUGCCUGUAGUCUGAACAGGCUUUGCUAUCCCAGAAGCGCUUGUUUUGUUCUAAUGCCUGUGCGCUACUUCCGGAUUUGUACCGGACCUUUACAGUAAAUGUACAUGUGCUGGGCCUACCGUGACGUUACAUAGUCCAAACGUGCGGCCCAUUUACCGGUAAGGCGGUAAUGCAGAUAGCAUUUGGUCCAGCUGGUAAAGGACAGGACUAGCGAGCGGCCGGCUGCUGGUUAAGCCUUGCGAGCCAACGCCCAAUAUGUAAAGGGUUUGGUCCACUCGAUCGACACGAAAAGAAAUAAAUAAGCAUGCGCAGUAAUCCCGCAUGCAAAGCCCA